GUAUGCUUUUAAUAACAAAGCCCAAGAAAAUUCCAGAAGCCUUCAAAAGGUAUAGAAAACAUCAAAGCCUAAAAUAAAUCUUUAAAAUAAAUCUCACCAGGAGGCUUAUGUUCUUGGUUAACCCAUGAAAUUUAAAAAAAUAUGAUUGUGGUAAAUUCAGAUUCCCAUUCAUUGUUUAUCGUUAUUGUGACUGAUUUCUCAGGUCCCAGUGGCACAUGCAACGGCUAAUGGCGUAGUCCUGUCUCUGGAAGUGGAAAGAGUGGAGCUGACGGUGGCAGCAGUGCUGAGCAGUGAGACGUUCUGAGAGAGUUUCACCUGUGAGGAUGAGGAGAUUCAGCCUUUGUGAAGAGAUCUUGGAUGUUGAAGUAAAAUGUGAUUAUUCGUAUAGAAGUAACAGAGAUCUGGCCAAGGAUGGAGCAACAUCUCUCAAAGGCUGAGAACACUCUCUGGGUUGCACUUCGAUGGCAGCGGCAAAAGGUCUGGUGUUCUCUCCUGGGCCUUUAAUUUCUCCUCUGAACUUUAAAGGUGCCUAAACCUUUCCAAAACCAUUCUAUUACUUUCAUCACCACAGUCUCCCUCUUUUUCCAAACUCUAUCUCCUCCCCUUCUGUUCAAUAUGAGAAAGAGGGAGAAACAGCAAGGAAGCAAGGAGUGCAGGUAAGACUGUACAGUUCUCUGCUGUUUUUGUUCUCAUUGCUGCUUGUGGGGAAGGAGUAGAGCCAACAAAGUCUGGGAAAACAUUCCCCCUGCUCUUCCUUUAUACUUCUUUAGGCCACUUCGUGUUUUGUUCUUAGUAACCAACAAAUGUCUAAACCUCCUACAUUUUAUGUGCCUGUAUUGAUCUUAUAAUCUUUAACCAUAAUGUCUUUGGCCCAAAACAUAUUUUGG
rnacentral:lncRNA from 1 species